rnacentral:rRNA from 1 species
UUGACUUACAAGGUAUUGUAAUAAGAUUUUAAUUGAAUGCUAAAAGAAUGGAAUUACAGGGAAAAGUUUUUUUAAAUUUAAUAAUUAAAGUUAUUUUAAUUUGUGAAGAAACAAUUAUGAAAAUUAAAGACAAGAAGACCCUAAGAAUUUAUGAAUUUUUAUUUAUGUAUAUGUUGUUUGUUUAUACAAAAUUCUUUCUUGGGGCAGGCAACUAAUAUAUAAAACUUUUUUUCCUUAUUAUGAUCGAUCAUUAAUGACAGAAUGAUGAAAAAACUCUAGGGAUGGAAAACAGCGAAUUUUUGAUAGAUCUUACUUACAAACUAAAUUGCGACCGACCUGUUGGAUUAAGAUACAUACUUCUUGAAUAUGUAAGUAAAAGAAAUAAGUUCGUCUUUUUUUUUCCUACCUACUCGAUCUUAAUACCGACCGGA